AAUAUAAUAAUUGAACUCUACUCAACUCUCCUCCUCGCUCCUCAGCCUCAGGUGGACUUCCUCCUCUGUAUUCUAGAGAGAGAAAAUACAAAAAUCCCAAAUUUCUGCAGAAAAAGAAUUAGGGUUCUUAUUUUGCUUUUUCUUUCUUCUGGAAUUGAUUAGUCUUGCGGGGGGAGUUAAUGCGUUAGUGCUGCAAAUUAACUGCUAAAUUAACUCACAUUUCCUCGAAGAAAAAAAUUCAAAUCAUAUCUUCAGAUGGCUUUCCAGGGCAAGAAACUCAUCAAUGACCCAAACGAUGUUGUUACUGAGUUUAUUGAAGGUUUGGUGGAAACAUAUCCGGGUUUGCAGUAUUUGGAUGGUUUCCCUGAGGUUAAAGUUGUGUUGAGAGCCGACAUCUCAGGUUCAACACAUGACAAAGUUGCAGUGAUAUCAGGAGGUGGAAGUGGACAUGAGCCUGCUCAUGCAGGAUUUGUGGGAGAAGGGAUGCUGACCGCAGCAAUUUGUGGGGAUGUUUUUGCCUCCCCACCUGUUGACUCCAUUUUAGCUGGCAUUCGAGCAGUGACUGGUCCAAUGGGAUGCCUCCUGAUUGUUAAGAAUUAUACUGGUGAUAGAUUGAACUUUGGCCUGGCAGCUGAGCAAGCAAAAUCUGAAGGCUACAAAGUAGAGAUGGUAAUUGUUGGCGAUGAUUGUGCUUUACCUCCUCCUAGAGGAAUAGCCGGACGAAGGGGUUUGGCUGGGACCAUUUUUGUUCACAAGGUUGCUGGAGCUGCAGCAGCUUGUGGCCUGUCUCUUUCUGCUGUUGCUGCUGAAGCAAAACGUGCAUCAGAAUUGAUUGGCACAAUGGGUGUCGCGUUGUCUGUUUGCACGUUGCCAGGUCAAGUAACAUCGGAUCGUUUAGGCCAUGGAAAAAUGGAGCUUGGUCUUGGAAUCCAUGGAGAACCAGGCGCUGCUGUAGCUGAUCUUCAGCCUGUGGAUGUGAUAGUCUCUCAUGUUCUGAAGCAGAUAUUGUCACUGGAGACCAACUAUGUUCCUAUUACACGGGGAAGUAGAGUAGUGCUGAUGAUUAAUGGUUUGGGAGGUACUCCUGUUAUGGAAUUGAUGAUUGCAACUGGGAAAGCGGUACCUAGGUUGCAGCUUGAACAUGGACUGGCUGUUGAGAGGGUGUACACAGGCUCAUUUAUGACUUCUCUUGACAUGGCUGGAUUUUCAAUAACUGUGAUGAAAGCAAAUGAAGAAAUUUUGAAUCGCUUGGAUGCACCAACUAAGGCUCCAUGUUGGCCCGUUGGUGCUGAUGGUAAUCGUCCACCUGCCAAGAUUCCUGUUCCCCUUCCACCAUCACUUUCAACAAAGAGUGAUGAGACAUUGAGUCGGCCUGAACAGCUAAGCUCCCAGGGUUAUCUUCUUGAGGUGGCUAUUGAAGCAGGGGCAACAGCAGUUAUCAAUCUAAGUGACAGCUUAAACGAAUGGGACAGCAAAGUGGGUGAUGGAGACUGUGGUUCUACAAUGUUCAGAGGUGCAACCGCGAUAAUGGAAGACAUGAAGAAGUAUUAUCCGCUGAAUGACCCUGCUGAAACAGUUAAUGAAAUUGGAUCUUCUAUCAGAAGAGUGAUGGGAGGAACAAGUGGAAUCUUAUAUGAUAUAUUCUGUAAGGCAGCUUACGCACAGUUGAAAGCAAAGGGCAAGUCGGUUAUAACGCCAAUGCAUUGUGAGAUGGGCUGGAGCUCUUGAAGCUGCUAUUGCUGCAGUUAGUAAGUAUGGAGGAGCAAAUGCUGGUUAUCGCACAAUGUUGGAUGCACUUAUUCCAGCAUCAUCAGUACUUAAAGAGAGGUUAGCUGCCGGGGACAAUCCGGUGGAUGCAUUUGUUCUUUCUGCUGAAGCAGCAACUGCAGGAGCUGUCUCAACUAAGGACAUGCAAGCUCAGGCUGGUCGGUCGACUUAUGUCUCUGCAGAUAAUCUUGCGUCAGUCCCGGAUCCAGGUGCAAUGGCUGCAGCUUCUUGGUAUGCUGCAGCUGCCGCAGCUGCAAAGAGCAAGAGCCAGGCGUCAUAAUCGCCUCCUUCCAGCUAUUAACCAUUUUUUGCUUUGGGCUUUGUUUUUGGUAACCAAGCAAAAUUUUGGUCAGAUAACUUUACAUUGCUCUUAACAAAUUAACCUUCCGCUUAUGCUGUACCAUACAUGCAUAAAGCUGUGACAGGCAAUACUCGACCGUGUAAUAUGAUGAGAAAUCAGAGAUGUAGAAUGCAACAUUAAGGUGUAGAGCACAUUUUGUGACUUUCAUUGUGACAAUCACAUUAUUAUUAUAUAAUUUGAUAGAUUAGGAAAAAUGGGACGAUUUGUAUGGC